GGGAAUCAUAGUGCAUUGUGGGUAAAAACUGUGUCUAUGUGUCUGGAAUGUCCCCAUAUUUGUCUGUCAUUUAAGUCUCCCAUUUGGUCCCCUAGGGGAGUGUCCACCAAGUGGAAGACCUGCAUAAAUACGGGCAGGUAGCCCACAGUAAAGCCAGAUCCUGUUUGACCCUCAAUGCGGAGCUUCUGUCUUGUUAUUGUGGGGAUUUAUUAUUUGUGUUUAGAGACUGCUGGAUGGAAACGAAAGCCGCUUGGUGGAUGUUAUUAUUCGGCGGCUAGCAGCAGUUCGUGUAUUGCCGUUCGGGAGUUUGGAGCCGUUCACGGAUCCCGGUCGGGAGAUUGCCGCUUCCCCUGCAUUUGGUUCGUGCACUACAGGUUAGGUGAACGGAGUUACUGAUAUUGCAGACGGGGAAGGUCUACUAAACGGAGGUUUUGCACAAAGACACUGGAGGUGUCUUAACACCUAAUAUCUAGAUACCCUCACCUACCAGUAAUGUUGAUGUUUUAAUCGGAUUCUAGAUAGAUCUCACAAGCUUGUUUAUAAACCUGUUAUUAUACCCUUAUAAAAAUGAGUGCAAGACUAACUCAAUGCCUUAUACCAUGUAAGCUAUGUAUCCUGACUUUCUUGUUAAAUGCUAUUGUGGCAUGCCAAGCUGUAUGUAAUCACCUGCACUACAAAAAUAAAGAAGUAAAAAAAAAAAAAAGUGCUGUGGAAGAAGUUGGCACUAUAUAAAUUCCCAUAAUAAGGCAAAGAUUAUACACUUCCUUCUAGCAAUACCAAUUCACACCAGUAGUGGGUGCUGUAAUGGGCUGUAACAAUCAGCUGACACUCUCAGCCAAUUAUAGACUCUUGUUGCUGCUUAGACUGAAACUUCCUCAAUAGCCCAAGUAGCAGAGAGGAUUGGCUGUCGGGGGCUCUUUUUUACCACUAAAACAUCAAAAACUGUUUAACGCUAAAUGGAAGGAUGGUAUGAAAGGACUGCAGACACAAUAACUACUUCAAAGAUAUCAAGAAGUUACAGUGCCUACAAUGUCCCUUUACGUUAAAACUAAGCCGUGUUACCCUCACAUCAUUGAUAUUGAUAUUACAAGGUUAACAGAAAAUUUGAAGGAAGGGAAUUGAUGAUGCUAACAGAUGUGUCAUUAACCUAACAUAAUCCAAAUAAACACGGAAAUGUGCAUGUUUCUUUAAGGUAUCUCCAAACAAAUUAUUUAGGUACAUGCGUAUUUAUUAUGUUAUUAAUUUUACUACAGACACUCCUCACUUACAGACCAGAUUCCGUUCUUAUGACUCGGUCAGAAAACGAAUUGGUCGAUAAGUGAGAAUGAGAUACAGAGAAUGCACACCAGUGCAGGUCUAUGUUUAGGGAAAUUUCCCUCUAAUCUAUGUUCGGGGAAUGUUCCCUGAUCUUAGAUUUGAGGGAUUUCCUGCUCUGUUGCACUUGUCUAGGUUCUUUUCUAUGUAUAGACCAGCUUUCUAGUGUGGGGAAUGCCCUGAAUCCCUGCGCUAAAGAGUUGGUCAUAACUCCAAGUUGUCGUUAAACAGGUCAGUCGUAAAGUGAGGACUACCUGUAGUUAUAUUUCAGCUACAGCAUUUAUUUACCUUUUAUUUAUGCAAUCGAUUAACGAGGCAUUGUUACAUAAUAGUGCUUGUACCGCAUAAUCAGGGGAGGUGCUUGUAGGUGUUUAUUCUGCUCAUGCAAAAACCACCUGGAAUUAUUUUAGAGAAUUGGGUAUUUUUAGUAAGGUAUUUUCAAGUUCUUUUGAAAUGCUGAAUUUGAUAAGUUUGUGAUGGUCUUGUAAAUGUGUUGCUAACUUCUUUGCAGCAGGAUUGCAAUCUCCAUAUAUUGAGUGUUUAAAGCAAUAUACCUCUGUAUAUUUAACCAUUUAGUAGAUAUACCCUUAAUGCAUGCAUUUAAUUAUAAAAAUAAGAAAAGGGUCAGCUCUAAUAAAAUUGAAGUAAGGUAGGCAGCGGCCCAACAGAAGGUAACCCUCAAACUCUCUGAGGAGAGACCAUGUAACACAAAGAAAUACAGGAAAAGGGCUGUGCCAAUAGUUAAAAGGUACAAUAGUUCGUCGGAAAUGGUAGGGCAAUAUAACGUAGUUGGUCUCACUGAUAUGGUGGGACUAAAGUUCUGAUGGAGUAACUGAAGGUAAAUACCGAUAAUAUUGAGGUCUCACUCAGAAGUAAGUAUCUUUAUAAGGUAACAAAAACAAGAAUAAUAGGUUGCGCUACGUAAAUAUCAAAUGAAAAAGGGAUAAAUAUGGCAAAACACUUUAAAACGUAAAAGAGGAAUAAUAUGUAUAAAGAAAAGGGGAUUUAAUAAAUAUAUAUAACAAAUAUAUAUAUAAAAAAAGAUAGUCCAAAUUCUUGAUAUAAUUUAAAAAGUUCAAAUAAGUGGAUGAUAGUGACAGUACUUGGUAUAUUUCUCUUUCAGGUUCCGGUAAGUAUUUGGAGGUAGAAAGUCCAAUAAGAGACUGAAUCUUCUAAUCUUUAGAGGAGUCUUGAUUCAGAGAUGAACAUGGAAAAUAUAAGCAACAAAGACGAUCCAAUAGUGUAGACUGUCUGUGAUAAAUAAUAAUAAUAAUAGGUAGGUAGUACACUCACCUAUCUUAGAGCAUGAACUUGCUCUAGUAUGUUGGGCGUUCAGUGGCGUUUAUCCCCCACUGGUAGGAUAUAGGUGAAGGUAAUUCCUCGGUAAUAAAAAGGAGAUAAAAGCAGAAUAUAGUGCUCACUGAAUCAAAAUGAAAUAAAGUGAAAUAAAAGGAAUAAAAAUACUCACAUUCGAAUGAGCAGGAUAAACUGCUCAGUAUAUUCGCAUAGGUGGUACAAUCCCCACCAAGGAUUCUUGGUCGUGGGUAGAUUCCAAGUUGGUGAAUGACCAGGUGACAGAAAAUAUUUUUAAAACAAAAUUUUUAAAAAUAAGAUAAAAAGGUAUAUGGCAAAAUUGAUGUAAAAAAGCCACUAUUCCUUUAUUAGUACAAUAAAAAAUAUAUAAGGUGCCUAUUUUUGGGUGUAGAGUCCUCAAUGUCCCUAGUGGUCCAACCGUCCCGCUUGUAUGCAAGACAAAAACGAGGAGACCCAAUUUUGCAGUAUAUAAAAGCCAAUAUGGGUAAAAUAAACAAAUAUGUGCAAUCAACUCACAUUUAAAAGAGCUAUAGCCAGCUCUGGUGUGAAGGGCGUACAGGGGUAUAAUCCAGGCUUUAAAGGAUAGGUGAUGGGAAUCCUCCACAGGGAUGGUAUCCAACACCCAGGAGAGGGAUAUAUAAAAGACAGCCAAUAGUGCUCUCAGUAGAAUAAAAUAUGCAGUAAAUAUAAAUAAAAAUGUACUCACAAGUGAAGUGCAGGCAAACUGUACUGUGAUGUCAGCGUUGGUGAUAUGAUCCCCACCUCGGAUAUACUUGGAGUCACACGAAGAUAAAAGGAAGCCAGGAAAAAUUCCAAAUAAAAAAGUGUAUUAAAAAGAUGAUUGGCACAAAAUUGUAACCAAAACGCCUUUUAUUUAAAAAAAUACAAAUUCAAAAUAACCAUAACAUGUUUCACCACAAGGGCUUUAUCAAGUGCGUUAGACCUAUUCAGACGAACUAUUGUACCUUUUAACUAUUAGCGCAGCCUUUUUCCUGUAUUUCUUUGUGUUGCCUUUAAUUAUGCCUUUUCCAUUUGAGGUAAAUCUAAAAACAGCUUUCAAAAGCUACAGAUCUCAUUUGAAGCUUUUGCAAGACGUCCAUUUCUUCCCCAGCCCAGACGUUCUGUGGCUGUCCAAUAAUAGAUUCCCAAUGCAGCUCAAUCAGAAUUCUUUGCAAGGCAGAUGCUCUGAGCAAUUUCUGCCUCUUGAGUUUAGCUCCACGGAACUGACCAAACCAGGAAGUAAUAGGACCGGUUGUCUGAUUGACAGUCAGUGGACUUUAACCAGGUUAAUUUAUAAAAGUGUCAAUUUCUAUUGAAAUCUGCACUUUUUUUUUUAAAUGAAAAAAGAGGACACACUCUUCACACAUAAAGCAUCUCAGCAAGUUAAAGAGCUUCAGAGCUCAGGAGUUUCCUUUAAAGGGAAUCUAUAUUGUUAGGUUGUAUUCCUAACACUACAGUGCUCUCUGGUUCCCCUCUCUCUUGCAGCCCCCCUUGUUGGUACAUAAAAGGUAAAAAAAAAAAGUUAUUUACUUACCCAAUUCUAGCAUCAAUGCCCCUCGGCGCUGGAUUGUGUUCCUCCCCUCCGAUAUAAUCAGACAGGAGGAACCUAAUGCACAUGUGCAGCGAGCGCCACGCACACCUUAGACCUUCCCCAUAGGAGAGCAUUGCCUCAAUGCUUUCCUGUGGGGUUUUCCUUGAUGCUGUAAGGACAUCCAGUGACUUUUCACAAAGUCAAACUCUGUGAAAGUCCUGGAAACUCCUCUAGUGGCUCUCUGGUAAACAGCCACUAGAGGCAGUCUUAGUGCAACAAUGUAAACAUUGCAGUUUUUCAAAAAUAGCAAUGUUUUUCAUUGCACAACUGCGGGGGACAAGGACAUUGCACCAGACCACUUUAAUGAGAUGAAAUGGUCUGGGUGCCUAGUGUCCCUUUAAAUGUAAGGUAGAAGGCCCAUUUUUAUUGAUCUAGUAAUGAUAAAAGUGGUGUUGAAAAGUAUUCUAAAAGUGAGACUGUGAUCAUGUCGACAUUGCUAAUGUCUCAUCGCCAAACUUUGGCAUGUUGAUAAAUAUUCAAUAUGAGAGUUUACUUUGUCUACUGCAAGUCUAUAUAGCCACUUUAUUUAUUAAUUUAUUUACAUACUAAUACCCCAAGACUAUCAAGGUAGAAAUAUUUAAGUUCUAUAAUAUUUGUAAAAUGUGAUGGAGUACACGACAUUUUUUUAAAUUGUAAUUUUCUGUAAGCCUUCUUAAUUAAAUUCAUCUAAUGUCCUAUAGAGGACAUUACAGCACAUCAGCCAGCUUUCUGACUAUUGGAAUAAAGACUUCUCAGGUUGUGGCUUUUGGUGCUAUUUGAUCAGUAUUUUGAGCUGGCGCACAACAUAUCGGUCAGUUGAGAAAAUAUACGAACUAUAACUAAGCUUUCAAUCUUUCGUGACAUAGAAACUUUACUGUCUAAAUUUGUGUCAGUUUUCUACGGUGUCCCAGUGAAUUAGGGCACCAAAGAGGAAUCCUGAGAAGGUUCAGACCAGGUCACACUGAUCCCAUGACAGGUAGCUUCUUUGAUCCCCAGUCUGUUCAGAGGUAUGUCAAAAAUACAUUUUGACAGCAUAUGUGACCGCUUAUAUGAGAAAGUUAAAGAAUAUGAAUGGAUUUGUGUUAUGUUUUAAAAUGUAAGUUUUCCUGUUAUUUUAAAGAUUCACAAAAUAUGUGUAAAAUGUCCAUAAU